rnacentral:rRNA from 1 species
UCGAGGAUCUUCGGCAAUGGACGCAAGUCUGACCGAGCGACGCCGCGUGCGGGAUGAAGGCUUUCGGGUUGUAAACCGCUGUCAGUGGGGAGGAAAUCCAGGGGGCCCACUCUCUGGUUGACCUAUCCGCAGAGGAAGUACGGGCUAAGUACGUGCCAGCAGCCGCGGUAAUACGUACCGUACGAACGUUAUUCGGAAUUAUUAGGCUUAAAGGGUGCGUAGGCGGUGCGGAAAGUUGGGUGUGAAAUCCCUCGGCUCAACCGAGGAAUAGCGCCCAAAACUACCGUGCUAGAGGGAGACAGAGGUAAGCGGAACUUCGGGUGGAGCGGUGAAAUGCGUUGAUAUCCGAAGGAACACCGGUGGCGAAAGCGGCUUACUGGGUCUCUUCUGACGCUGAGGCACGAAAGCUAGGGUAGCGAACGGGAUUAGAUACCCCGGUAGUCCUAGCUGUAAACGAUGAGCACUGGGUUGAGGGUCCUCCAUAGCCUUCCAGCCGAAGCGAAAGUGUUAAGUGCUCCGCCUGGGGAG